GAGUGAACACGGCUCUUCAAGAUUUUUUUCUAACAGGAUUUCUGACCUUGGUCGGAAAUCCCAA